rnacentral:rRNA from 1 species
AAUGUGAAUUGCAGAAUUCAGUGAAUCAUCGAAUCUUUGAACGCACAUUGCGCCCCUUGGUAUUCCGGGGGGCAUGCCUGUUCGAGCGUCAUUACACCACUCAAGCCUGGCUUGGUAUUGGGCGUCGCGGCUCCCGCGCGCCUCAAUGUCUCCGGCGGGG